UCCCUGGUUGAUCCUGCCAGUAGUCAUAUGCUUGUCUCAAAGAUUAAGCCAUGCAUGUCUCAGUGCAUGCCGAAUUAAGGUGAAACCGCGAAUGGCUCAUUAAAUCAGUUAUGGUUCAUUAGAUUGUACCAACAUUUACUUGGAUAACUGUGGUAAUUCUAGAGCUAAUACAUGCAAAACAGAGUCCCGACCAGUGAUGGAAGGGACCCUUUUAUUAGAUCAAAGCCAAUCGGUGGCGCUCGGUCCGCCGUGCUUCCACCGUUUAUUUUGGUGACUCGGAAUAACUUUGUGCUGAUCGCACGGUCUCUGCACCGGCGACGCAUCUUUCAUAUGUCUGCCUUAAUAACUGUCGAUGGUAGGUUCUGCGCCUACCAUGGUUGUAACGCGUAACGGGGAAUCAGGGUUCGAUUCCGGAGAGGGAGCUUGAGAAACGGCUACCACAUCCAAGGAAGGCAGCAGGUGCGCAAAUUACCUACUCCCGGCACGGGGAGGUAGUGUCGAAAAAU
rnacentral:ncRNA from 1 species